rnacentral:rRNA from 1 species
GACGAACGCUGGCGGCGUGCUUAACACAUGCAAGUCGAGCGGUAAGGCCCUUCGGGUACGACGAGCGGCGAACGGGUGAGUAACACGUGGGUGACCUGCCUCUAGCUCUGGGAGUAAGCCUGGGAAACGUAGGGUCGUAAUACCGGAUAUGACUCCACGGCGCAUGUUGUGGGGUGGAAAGCCUUGUGUGGCUAGAGAUGGGCCCGCGG